UUUCAUAAGCAUAAGCUUAGUUGACAAAGCAGCAGCAGGAUUUGAGAGGAUUGAUUCCAAUUUUAUUUUAGGAAGAUUGGCCCUAAGCUAACAUCUGUUGCCAAUCUUCCUCUUUUUUUUUUUUCUCCUGAAAGCAACAGUACAUAGGUGUACAUCCUAGUUGUAGGUCAUUCUAAUUCUUCUAUGNNNNNNNNNNNNNNNNNNNNNNNNNUGAGACACUGCCACUGCAUGGCUCAAUGAGCAGUGCUGGGUAUGCACCCAGCAUCCAAACCAGUGAACCCUGAGCCGUCAAAGUGGGGCAUACAAACUUAACCACUCAGCCAUGGGGCUGGCCCCUGACUCCAAUUUUGAUAGAGGUUCUACUGUGGAUAAAAUACUAUCAAACAGCAUCAUGUGCUACAGAGAAAUCAUUCAUGAAAAGAAGAGUCAAUUGAUAUAGCAAGCUUCAAUGUUGUCUUAUUUUACGAAAUUCCCAGUCACCCCAACCUUCAACAACCACCUUCUGAUCAGUCAACAGCCUUCAACAUUGAGGUAAGACCCUCCACCAGUAAAAAGAUUAUGAGUUGCUGAAGGAUCAGAUGAUGGUUAGCAUUUUUAGCAAUAAAGUAUUUUUUAAUUAAGGUAUGUACAUUUUUAAAGACGUAAUGCUAUUGCACACUUAAAUAGCCUACAGUAUAGAGUAAACAUAACUUUUAUAUGCACUGGGAAGCCAAAAAAUUUGUGUGACUCACUGCGGUAUUCACUUUGUUUCAGUGGGCUGGAACCAAACCUGCAAUAUCUCCAAGGUGUGUCUAUACCUAAGAACACGGCUUCUCACAGACCUGACUCCCCUACACAAACAAGACGUGGAUAGCCACCAAGCAAGAUGUCCCUCAUGCCAGCAUCUUUUCCUUUACUCUGUCAUCAUCAUCAUGGUAAAAUGUAAAGAAAAGAAACAAUAUAUUCUGAGCACCGUGGGUGAGAAGAUAUUUAAAGUCUAUUCUUGUUCUGUUGCAAGCAGAAUUGAAUAUUUUGGAAGGAUAUUAUUGAUUGCUCCCAGAAUCUCCAGGGAAGGUUGAUGAAAGAUUGAGAGAGAAUGUUCAAAAUCAAUCUGCACAACAGAUCUGUCUGUGGAAGACACCACUGUGCCCCCAAUGUGCCCAGCACUGGUGUUGGACCUUGACCCAGGACCACUGCUAGUCCCAGCAAUACUAGCUUCCUGAAGUUCCUACUGCCUCAGAGUGAAUUCUUAACAAAGUCAGUGACCGGGGAUAUUCCACAUCAGUGGCAAAAGAGGCUGGGAAAACAAGUGUCUAGUAUUUUCAACUACUAUUGUUGACAGUAAGUCCAUUUCAGUCCAUUUUAACUGACUUUACACCACGUUUCUGAUUCCUACCAUAGUGAGCUCCAUCAGUCUUUUUUUAAAAAUAAAUCUCAUUGACAUCUAUUAUAGAAAAUAUGA
rnacentral:lncRNA from 1 species